UACGUAGGGUGCGAGCGUUGUCCGGAAUUAUUGGUCGUAAAGAGCUUGUAGGCGGUUUGUCGCGUCUGCUGUGAAAAUCCGGGGCUCAACCCCGGACUUGCAGUGGGUACGGGCAGACUAGAGUGUGGUAGGGGAGACUGGAAUUCCUGGUGUAGCGGUGAAAUGCGCAGAUAUCAGGAGGAACACCGAUGGCGAAGGCAGGUCUCUGGGCCACUACUGACGCUGAGAAGCGAAAGCAUGGGGAGCGAACAGGAUUAGAUA
rnacentral:rRNA from 1 species